GAUGAAGAACGUAGCGAAAUGCGAUAAGUAAUGUGAAUUGCAGAAUUCAGUGAAUCAUCGAAUCUUUGAACGCACAUUGCGCCCGCCAGUAUUCUGGCGGGCAUGCCUGUUCGAGCGUCAUUACAACCCUCAGGCCCCCGGGCCUGGCGUUGGGGAUCGGCGGAAGCCCCCUGUGGGCACACGCCGUCCCUCAAAUACAGUGGCGGUCCCGCCGCAGCUUCCAUUGCGUAGUAGCUAACACCUCGCAACUGGAGAGCGGCGCGGCCAUGCCGUAAAACACCCAACUUCUGAAUGUUGACCUCGAAUCAGGUAGGAAUACCCGCUGAACUUAAGCAUAUCAAUAACGGAGGA
rnacentral:misc_RNA from 1 species